AUAGACACAUCGUGGCCUAACUCAUGAUGAGCAAUUUGAUCUUACUGUUGCUGCUGUUAUGCACAGUUUCUUUCGUGGAAUGUAACUUAACAGAAACCUUUGGCAAAAGAUGGUGCGCCCGAUACUUUAAAAAAUGUUUUCCCACUAAACCAUGCUGUUGGGACAUUUAUGUGUGCAGGACCAAACCAUGUGGAACAACAUUUAGGUGUAUGAGACCAGGGAAUGGCAACGCAUGACGUCAU